rnacentral:tRNA from 1 species
CCUGGUGGUGGCGAACGCGGCCAACGCCGCCGUGGUCUCCGCCCAGCUGGCCGAGCGGGUGGCCGGGUUCGACGCCCAGCACCAGGAC